CACAGCGUUUAUGAAGUCAUCUAAUCCAAUAAGCGAAUUGGAGGAACACCUGGAUCUUAAGCCCAGCUGAGCCUCAAAUUUGUGAUCAGCUUCCUGAUUAUUGGGAUUCCAGGUCCCCAAGGAGAAGCCAUAAGAAACUGUGUAUUUGGGGGCUAUCCUGUCUGCAAGUAAGACUCCCCAAAGUGUACAUCUAAACUCUAGGAGAAGGAAGCAUCUGCAAUGUGGCCUCAGAGUGCAAGGUGCUUUCUGCUCAGAGAAGCUUACUGCACCCUGUGGCUGAAGUCUCAGGGUUGAUCUAGGAUCCAUG
rnacentral:lncRNA from 1 species